rnacentral:misc_RNA from 1 species
GAUGAAGGAACGCAGCGAAAUGCGAUAAGUAGUGUGAAUUGCAGAAUUCAGUGAAUCAUCGAGUCUUUGAACGCACAUUGCGCCCCCUGGUAUUCCGGGGGGCAUGCCUGUCCGAGCGUCAUUGCUGCCCUCAAGCACGGCUUGUGUGUUGGGCCUCCGUCCUCCUCCCGGGGGACGGGCCCGAAAGGCAGCGGCGGCACCGCGUCCGGUCCUCGAGCGUAUGGGGCUUCGUCACCCGCUCUUGUAGGCCCGGCCGGCGCUUGCCGACACAUCAAUCUUUUUUCCAGGUUGACCUCGGAUCAGGUAGGGAUACCCGCUGAACUUAAGCAUAUCAAUAAGCGGAGGA